rnacentral:rRNA from 1 species
UGGAGAGUUUGAUCCUGGCUCAGGAUGAACGCUAGCGGCAGGCCUAAUACAUGCAAGUCGAACGGUGUAGCAAUACACAGUGGCGCACGGGUGCGUAACACGUAUGCAACCUACCUAUCAUUGGGGGAUAGCCUUUGGAAACGGAGAUUAAUACCGCAUAAGACAGUAACAUGGCAUCAUGUAGCUGUUAAAGCUUUGGCGAUGAUAGAUGGGCAUGCGUCCAAUUAGUUAGUUGGUGAGGUAACGGCUCACCAAGACGAUGAUUGGUAGGGGAUCUGAGAGGAUAAUCCCCCACACUGGCACUGAGAUACGGGCCAGACUCCUACGGGAGGCAGCAGUAGGGAAUAUUGGGCAAUGGACGGAAGUCUGACCCAGCCAUGCCGCGUGCAGGAAGAAGGCGUUAUGCGUUGUAAACUGCUUUUUUAUAGGAAGAAGGAGACCUUGCGAGGUUUGGUGACGGUACUAUAAGAAUAAGCACCGGCUAACUCCGUGCCAGCAGCCGCGGUA